CCUACGGGAGGCAGCAGUAGGGAAUCUUCCACAAUGGGCGAAACCCUGAUGCAGCGACGCCGCGUGAGUGAAGAAGUAUUUCGUUAUGUAAAGCUCUAUCAGCAGGGAAGAAAAUGACGGUAACUGAGUAAGAAGCCCCGGCCAACUACGUGCCAGCAGCCGCGGUAAUACGUAGGGGGCAAGCGUUAUCCGGAUUUACUGGGUGUAAAGGGAGCGUAGACGGCAGUGCAAGUCUGGAGUGAAAGGCGGGGGCUCAAUCUACGGACUGCACUGGAAACUGUACGGCUGGAGUGCAGGAGAGGAAAGUGGAAGUCCUAGUGUAGCGGUGGAAUGCGUAGAUAUUAGGAAGAACACCAGUGGCGAAGGCGGCUUACUGGACUGUAACUGACGUUGAGGCUCGAAAGCGUGGGGAGCAAACAGGAUUAGAUACCCCUGUAGUC
rnacentral:rRNA from 1 species